rnacentral:rRNA from 1 species
CCUACGGGAGGCAGCAGUAGGGAAUAUUGCUCAAUGGGGGAAACCCUGAAGCAGCAACGCCGCGUGGAUGAUGAAGGUUUUCGGAUUGUAAACUCCUAUUGUCAGAGAAGAAAAUGACGGUAUCUAACGAAUAAGCACCGGCUAACUACGUGCCAGCAGCCGCGGUAAUACGUAGGGUGCAAGCGUUAUCCGGAUUCACUGGGCGUAAAGGGCGCGUAGGCGGGAGAGCAAGUCAGAUGUGAAAGCCUAGGGCUUAACCAUAGAACUGCAUUUGAAACUGUUAUUCUAGAGUAUAGGAGAGGUAGGUGGAAUUCUUGGUGUAGGGGUAAAAUCCGUAGAGAUCCAGAGGAAUACUCAUUGCGAAGGCGACCUGCUAGAACAUAACUGACGCUGAGGCUCGAAAGCGUGGGGAGCAAACAGGAUUAGAUACCCGUGUAGUC